AUUGAACGCUGGCGGCGUGCUUAACACAUGCAAGUCGAACGAAGCUGCCUGGAGGAAGUUUUCGGAUGGAAUUUAGGUAGACUUAGUGGCGGACGGGUGAGUAACGCGUGGAUAACCUGCCUUAUACAGGGGGAUAACGGAGAGAAAUUUCCGCUAACACCGCAUAAGACCACAGCACCGCAUGGUGCAGGGGUAAAAUAUUUAUAGGUAUAAGAUGGAUCCGCGUCCGAUUAGCUAGUUGGUGAGGUAAAGGCCCACCAAGGCGACGAUCGGUAGCCGGCCUGAGAGGGUGAACGGCCACAUUGGGACUGAGACACGGCCCAAACUCCUACGGGAGGCAGCAGUGGGGAAUAUUGGUCAAUGGGCGGAAGCCUGAACCAGCCAAGUAGCGUGCAGGAUGACGGCCCUAUGGGUUGUAAACUGCUUUUAUGCGGGGAUAAAGGAGCCCACGUGUGGGUUUUUGCAGGUACCGCAUGAAUAAGGACCGGCUAAUUCCGUGCCAGCAGCCGCGGUAAUACGGAAGGUCCUGGCGUUAUCCGGAUUUAUUGGGUUUAAAGGGAGCGUAGGCCGUGGAUUAAGCGUGUUGUGAAAUGCAGGUGCUCAACGUCUGCACUGCAGCGCGAACUGGUCCACUUGAGUGUGCGCAACGCACGCGGAAUUCGUCGUGUAGCGGUGAAAUGCUUAGAUAUGACGAAGAACUCCGAUUGCGAAGGCAGCUUGCGGGAGCACAACUGACGCUGAAGCUCGAAAGUGCGGGUAUCGAACAGG
rnacentral:rRNA from 1 species